rnacentral:misc_RNA from 1 species
UUUCCGUAGGUGAACCUGCGGAAGGAUCAUUAUUGAAACUUCAUCCGGGGCGCCGCGGCCCUCAGCACCGGCGGAAACGCCGUGCUGCGGGGGCCGCGCGUGCACUCGUCCAAACCAAACCCCUGUGAACCUUACGGGAUGGCCCGGGUUAGCGCCCGGUGCCGUUCCGCUUUAUACAAACACUUAUCAAAGAAUGAACUGAAGGCGGUCUGACCGCUGGAUAACAAACUGAAACAACUUUCAACAACGGAUCUCUUGGCUCUC